CCGCCCGUACCGUAAACCGACACAGGUAUGCGGGGAGAGAAUCCUAAGGUGCGCGGGAGAACCCUCGUUAAGGAACUCGGCAAAAUGUACCCGUAACUUCGGGAUAAGGGUAGCCACUGUUGUGAAGUCCCAUGCGGAUGGAGCAUAGAGUGGUCGCAGAGAAGAGGCCCAAGCGACUGUUUACCAUAAACACAGGUGCCUGCUAAAGCGAAAGCUGACGUAUAGGUGCUGACACCUGCCCAGUGCCGGAAGGUUAAGGAAGGAUGUUCGGAUUAGUCCAAAGCAUUCGACUGAAGCCCCGGUGAACGGCGGCCGUAACUAUAACGGUCCUAAGGUAGCGAAAUUCCUUGUCGGGUAAGUUCCGACCCGCACGAAAGGUGUAACGAUUUGGGCACUGUCUCAACGAGGGACCCGGUGAAAUUGAAAUACCUGUGAAGAUGCAGGUUACCCGCGACUGGACAGAAAGACCCCAUGGAGCUUUACUGUAACCUGACAUUGGGUUUUGAUACAUUACGUACAGGAUAGGUGGGAGGCUUGGAAAGUUGGACGCUAGUCUGACUGGAGCCGACGUUGGGAUACCACCCUUGAUGUAUUGAAAUUCUAACCGCGAGAGUAACGAAAUCCGGGACAGUGUCAGGCGGGCAGUUUGACUGGGGCGGUCGCCUCCGAAAGAGUAACGGAGGCGCCCAAAGGUUCCCUCAGCGCGGCCGGAAAUCGCGCGAAGAGUGUAAAGGCAGAAGGGAGCUUGACUGCGAGUCAAACACGACGAGCAGGUACGAAAGUAGGGCUUAGUGAUCCGGUGGUACCGAGUGGAAGGGCCAUCGCUCAACGGAUAAAAGCUACCCUGGGGAUAACAGGCUAAUCUCUCCCAAGAGUCCAUAUCGACGGGGAGGUUUGGCACCUCGAUGUCGGCUCAUCACAUCCUGGGGCUGAAGUCGGUCCCAAGGGUUGGGCUGUUCGCCCAUUAAAGUGGUACGUGAGCUGGGUUCAGAACGUCGUGAGACAGUUCGGUCCCUAUCCAUCGCGGGCGCAAGAGAUUUGAAGGGGGCUGCUCCUAGUACGAGAGGACCGGAGUGGACGAACCGCUGGUGUACCAAUUAUCCCGCCAGGGGUACAGUUGGGUAGCUACGUUCGGAAAGGAUAAACGCUGAAAGCAUCUAAGCGUGAAACCA
rnacentral:rRNA from 1 species